CCCUUAGAUGUUCUGGGCCGCACGCGCGCUACACUGACGAAUGCAACGAGCUUAUAACCUUGGCCGAAAGGUCUGGGUAAUCUCCAAAUUUCGUCGUGAUGGGGAUAGAUUAUUGCAAUUAUUAAUCUUCAACGAGGAAUGCCUAGUAAGCGCAAGUCAUCAGCUUGCGUUGAUUACGUCCCUGCCCUUUGUACACACCGCCCGUCGCUCCUACCGAUUGAAUGGCCCGGUGAAGCGCUCGGACCGCGGCCUCUUGACGGUUCGCUGUCGAUUGGCUGUGGGAAGUUCGUUAAACCUUAUCAUUUAGAGGAAGGAGAAGUCGUAACA
rnacentral:rRNA from 1 species